rnacentral:pre_miRNA from 1 species
UUUGAGGGGAAUGUUGUCUGGGUCGAGGCAUCCGCAGAACUUGAGAUAGAUAGAUCGUCUAUCUUCUCUUCUCUUCUUUUAUGUUUGGAGAUCUCGGACCAGGCUUCAUUCCCCUCAAC